rnacentral:misc_RNA from 1 species
GAAGAACAAUUGGAAAUUUUUUGCUUCAUUUUGCAGCACAUCAACUGGUAUUCCCAUGGAGGUGUACUUACGACAAGCCUCUUGGCAACACCUGAUCCCAGCAUACAUCUGGCCAUUUUUUUUCCCACAGGUGUAUGUAGCAUAGAUGAUUAUAUGUUUGCAGAAUGCACAUGAACAUGGAUGAUUAAAUUUUUGACACAGUACCUAUCAAGAGGUACAUCCUUGCAGUUUUUCCCCUAUUUUUUGUUCUCUAAUAAUCCAUGUUUCUCAAAUUACUGUGGUACUGCUAUUGCAUCUCUUAUUGUGUUGCUUGCUUUUAUUUUUGUAUACUGUAUUUU